AUACCUUUCUCGGCCUUUUGGCUUAGAUCAAGUGUAGAAUCUGUUCUUAUCAUCAGUUUAAUAUCUGAUACGUGGCCCAUCGGCUCACAAGAUAUUAAAUUAAUUUUUUGAGGGGAAGGGCUCGCCGCAGUAGCUUGCUACUGGGGUCCUCGCGCGUCGCCGUACCGUUGCUCCAUUGCCUUGGUCUGGCGCACCCAAU